GGGGAAUAAUCUGCCAGCCGGCGCUCAUCUCCUCGGAGACAGCGGAUACCCCUCAAAGAGGUGGCUCCUGACACCCUACCUCAGACCACAACCCGGUCACCAGACAAAUUACAACAGAUCACAUAAGAGAACAAGAAGUUCAGUGGAGAGAGGAUUUGGUCAGCUGAAAAGAAGGUUCAGUGUCCUUCAUGGGGAGAUGAGACUUUCACCUGAGAGAGCAUGCAAAGUCAUCACUGCAUGUGCUGUACUGCAUAAUAUUUGCAAAACCAGGAAUAUUCCUCUUCCAAAUCUUGAUGGCAACCACAGGGUCAACCCUCCCCCACAAAAUGGACAACUAGUUCUGCCUGCACAGGGUAUCAUGGGAGUUCGAUACCGGGAACAGUUCGCAAUUACAAACUUUCCUUAGCAUGAAGUGGAUGAAGUGGCUGAGGCAGCUGAGGUUGUGGUGGGACCUGUUGAUAAAGCUGAGGUGACUGAGGUGAUGAACUUGGAAUAUGAAAUACCUGUGCUGGUUCACAAACUUGUUCACAAAAUCUGCAAUGGAUAAAGAAUGUGAAAUUGAAAUACAGAAUUAAUAAAAUAAUGAAGUG